rnacentral:piRNA from 1 species
UUGGAUGAUGGGCCAGGGAUUUGUGACU